rnacentral:rRNA from 1 species
UACGUAGGGUGCGAGCGUUGUCCGGAAUCAUUGGGCGUAAAGAGCGCGUAGGCGGCCCAGUAAGUCCGCUCUGAAAGUCAGAGGCUCAACCUCUGAAUGCGGGUGGAUACUGCUGGGCUAGAGUCCGGAAGAGGCGAGUGGAAUUCCUGGUGUAGCGGUGAAAUGCGCAGAUAUCAGGAGGAACACCGAUGGCGAAGGCAGCUCGCUGGGACGGUACUGACGCUGAGACGCGAAAGCGUGGGGAGCGAACAGG